GACGAACGCUGGCGGCGUGCCUAAUACAUGCAAGUCGAACGCAGUGGGGACGGGUGAGUAACACGUGGGUAACCUCCCAUCAGAGGGGAUAACACUUGGAAACAGGUGCUAAACCGAUACUGAUGGAUGGACCAGCGGUGCAUUAGCUAGUUGGUGAGGUACCGGCUCACCAAGGCCACGAUGCAUAGCCGACCUGAGAGGGGGAUCGGCCACACUGGGACUGGGACACGGCCCAGAUUCCUACGGGAGGCAGCAGUAGGGAAUAUUCGGCAAUGGACGAAAGUCUGACCGAGCAACGCCGCGUGAGGGAAGAAGGUUUUCGGGUCGGAAAACUCUGUUGUGAGGGAAGCGGUAUCUACCCAGAAAGCCACGGCUAACUACGUGCCAGCAGCCGCGGUAAUUC
rnacentral:rRNA from 1 species